rnacentral:rRNA from 1 species
GAUGAACGCUGGCGGCGUGCCUAAUACAUGCAAGUCGAGCGAACAGACGAGGAGCAUGCUCCUCUGACGUUAGCGGCGGACGGGUGAGUAACACGUGGAUAACCUACCUAUAAGACUGGGAUAACUUCGGGAAACCGGAGCUAAUACCGGAUAAUAUAUUGAACCGCAUGGUUCAAUAGUGAAAGACGGUUUUGCUGUCACUUAUAGAUGGAUCCGCGCCGCAUUAGCUAGUUGGUAAGGUAACGGCUUACCAAGGCAACGAUGCGUAGCCGACCUGAGAGGGUGAUCGGCCACACUGGAACUGAGACACGGUCCAGACUCCUACGGGAGGCAGCAGUAGGGAAUCUUCCGCAAUGGGCGAAAGCCUGACGGAGCAACGCCGCGUGAGUGAUGAAGGUCUUCGGACCGUAAAACUCUGUUAUUAGGGAAGAACAAAUGUGUAAGUAACUAUGCACGUCUUGACGGUACCUAAUCAGAAAGCCACGGCUAACUACGUG